UGCUAUCGGUGUCCGAUUAAGCCAUGCGAGUCGAGAGGUGUAAGACCUCGGCAGACUGCUCAGUAACACGUGGAUAACCUGCCCAAGGGUCCGGGAUAACCCCGGGAAACUGGGGAUAAUACCGGAUGGGUCACCAGUGCUGGAAUGCUUGGUGGUCGAAAGGUGACGCCUUUGGAUGGGUCUGCGGCGGAUUAGGUUGACGCCGGUGUAACGUACCGGCGUGCCUGUAAUCCGUACGGGUUGUGGGAGCAAGAGCCCGGAGAUGGAUUCUGAGACACGAAUCCAGGCCCUACGGGGCGCAGCAGGCGCGAAAACUCUACAAUGCAGGCAACUGCGAUAGGGGGACAUCGAGUGGCAUCCACCUUGGGUGUCUGUCCAACCGUCUAAAAAACGGUUGUUAGCAAGGGCCGGGCAAGACCGGUGCCAGCCGCCGCGGUAAUACCGGCGGCUCGAGUGGUGGCCGAUAUUAUUGAGUCUAAAGGGUCCGUAGCCGGCUUUGCAAGUCCCCUAGGAAAUCCGGCGGCUUAACCGUUGGGCUUUCAUGGGAUACUACAUUGCUUGGGACUGGGAGAGGUAGGAGGUACUCGGGGGGUAGGGGUGAAAUCCUGUAAUCCUCCGGGGACCACCGGUGGCGAAGGCGUCCUACCAGAACAGGUUUCUACGGUGAGGGACGAAAGCUAAGGGGCACGAACCCGAAUUAGAUACCCCCGGUACUUCUAGCACUUACACGAUGCCCUUCUAGGUGCUAAUA
rnacentral:rRNA from 1 species